GAUGAACGCUAGCGGCAGGCUUAAUACAUGCAAGUCAAGGGGGUAGCAAUACAACCGGCGCACGGGUGAGUAACGCGUACACAACAUACCAUAUACUGGGGUAUAGCUUCGGGAAACUGAAGGUAAUCCCCCAUAAUAUUGCGGGAAGGCAUCUUUCUGCAAUUAAAGUUUCGACGGUAUAUGAUUGGUGUGCGUUUGAUUAGCUAGUUGGUAGGGUAACGGCCUACCAAGGCGACGAUCAAUAGCUGGCGUGAGAGCGCGACCAGCCACACUGGAACUGAGACACGGUCCAGACUCCUACGGGAGGCAGCAGUAGGGAAUAUUGGACAAUGGGCGAAAAGCCUGAUCCAGCCAUGCCGCGUGAUAGA
rnacentral:rRNA from 1 species